GACGAACGCUGGCGGCGUGCUCAACACAUGCAAGUCGAACGGAAAGGCCCUGCUUUUGUGGGGUGCUCGAGUGGCGAACGGGUGAGUAACACGUGAGUAACCUGCCCUUGACUUUGGGAUAACUUCAGGAAACUGGGGCUAAUACCGGAUAGGAGCUCCUGCUGCAUGGUGGGGGUUGGAAAGUUUCGGCGGUUGGGGAUGGACUCGCGGCUUGUCAGCUUGUUGGUGGGGUAGUGGCUUACCAAGGCUUUGACGGGUAGCCGGCCUGAGAGGGUGACCGGCCACAUUGGGACUGAGAUACGGCCCAGACUCCUACGGGAGGCAGCAGUGGAGAAUAUUGCACAAUGGGCGGAAGCCUGAUGCAGCAACGCCGCGUGCGGGAUGACGGCCUUCGGGUUGUAAACCGCUUUCGCCUGUGACGAAGCGUGAGUGACGGUAAUGGGUAAAGAAGCACCGGCUAACUACGUG
rnacentral:rRNA from 1 species